CCUACGGGUGGCAGCAGUGAGGAAUAUUGGUCAAUGGACGGAAGUCUGAACCAGCCAUGCCGCGUGUAGGAAGACGGCCCUAUGAGUUGUAAACUGCUUUUGUACAAGGGUAAACCUGAAUAUGUGUAUUCAUCUGAAAGUACUGUACGAAUAAGGAUCGGCUAACUCCGUGCCAGCAGCCGCGGUAAUACGGAGGAUCCAAGCGUUAUCCGGAUUUAUUGGGUUUAAAGGGUGCGUAGGCGGAAUAUCAAGUUAGCGGUAAAAAUUCGGGGCUCAACCCCGUCGUGCCGGUGAAACUGAUGUUCUUGAGUGUGCGAGAGGUAUGCAGAAUGCGUGGUGUAGCGGUGAAAUGCGUAGAUAUCACGAAGAACUCCGAUUGCGAAGGCAGCAUACCGGCGCCCAACUGACGCUGAAGCGCGAAAGCGUGGGUAUCGAACAGGAUUAGAUACCCGAGUAGUC
rnacentral:rRNA from 1 species